CAUCGCUGACGAGUGGCGGACGGGUGAGUAAUGCUUGGGAACUUGCCUUUGCGAGGGGGAUAACAGUUGGAAACGACUGCUAAUACCGCAUAAUGUCUUCGGACCAAACGGGGCUUAGGCUCCGGCGCAAAGAGAGGCCCAAGUGAGAUUAGCUAGUUGGUAAGGUAAAGGCUUACCAAGGCAACGAUCUCUAGCUGUUCUGAGAGGAAGAUCAGCCACACUGGAACUGAGACACGGUCCAGACU
rnacentral:rRNA from 1 species